rnacentral:rRNA from 1 species
AUUGAACGCUGGCGGCAGGCUUAACACAUGCAAGUCGAGCGGAGAUGAGGUGCUUGCACCUUAUCUUAGCGGCGGACGGGUGAGUAAUGCUUAGGAAUCUGCCUAUUAGUGGGGGACAACAUUCCGAAAGGAAUGCUAAUACCGCAUACGUCCUACGGGAGAAAGCAGGGGAUCUUCGGACCUUGCGCUAAUAGAUGAGCCUAAGUCGGAUUAGCUAGUUGGUGGGGUAAAGGCCUACCAAGGCGACGAUCUGUAGCGGGUCUGAGAGGAUGAUCCGCCACACUGGGACUGAGACACGGCCCAGACUCCUACGGGAGGUGGCAGUGGGGAAUAUUGGACAAUGGGGGGAACCCUGAUCCAGCCAUGCCGCGUGUGUGAAGAAGGCCUUAUGGUUGUAAAGCACUUUAAGCGAGGAGGAGGCUACUGAGACUAAUACUCUUGGAUAGUGGACGUUACUCGCAGAAUAAGCACCGGCUAACUCUGUGCCAGCCGCCGCAGUAA